rnacentral:rRNA from 1 species
UUGAGGCGUGGCUUCCGGAGCUAACGCGUUAAGUAGACCGCCUGGGGAGUACGGCCGCAAGGUUAAAACUCAAAUGAAUUGACGGGGGCCCGCACAAGCGGUGGAGCAUGUGGUUUAAUUCGAUGCAACGCGAAGAACCUUACCUGGUCUUGACAUCCACAGAACUUUCCAGAGAUGGACUGGUGCCUUCGGGAACUGUGAGACAGGUGCUGCAUGGCUGUCGUCAGCUCGUGUUGUGAAAUGUUGGGUUAAGUCCCGCAACGAGCGCAACCCUUAUCCUUUGUUGCCAGCGGUCCGGCCGGGAACUCAAAGGAGACUGCCAGUGAUAAACUGGAGGAAGGUGGGGAUGACGUCAAGUCAUCAUGGCCCUUACGACCAGGGCUACACACGUGCUACAAUGGCGCAUACAAAGAGAAGCGACCUCGCGAGAGCAAGCGGACCUCAUAAAGUGCGUCGUAGUCCGGAUUGGAGUCUGCAACUCGACUCCAUGAAGUCGGAAUCGCUAGUAAUCGUGGAUCAGAAUGCCACGGUGAAUACGUUCCCGGGCCUUGUACACACCGCCCGUCACACCAUGGGAGUGGGUUGCAAAAGAAGUAGGUAGCUUAACCUUCGGGAGGGCGCUUACCACUUUGUGAUUCAUGACUGGGGUGAAGUCGUAACAAGGUAACCGUAGGGGAACCUGCGGUUGGAUCACCUCCUUACCUUAAAGAAGC